rnacentral:rRNA from 1 species
GACGAACGCUGGCGGCGUGCUUAACACAUGCAAGUCGAACGGAAAGGCCCUGCUUGCAGGGUACUCGAGUGGCGAACGGGUGAGUAACACGUGGGUGAUCUGCGCUGCACUUCGGGAUAAGCCUGGGAAACUGGGGCUAAUACCGGAUAUGACCUUCCAUGUAGUGUGGGGGGGGGAAAGAUUUAUCGGUGUGGGAUGAGCCCGCGGCCUAUCAGCUUGUUGGUGGGGUAAUGGCCUACCAAGGCGUCGACGGGUAGCCGGCCUGAGAGGGUGGACGGCCACAUUGGGACUGAGAUACGGCCCAGACUCCUACGGGAGGCAGCAGUGGGGAAUAUUGCACAAUGGGCGGAAGCCUGAUGCAGCGACGCCGCGUGGGGGAUGACGGCCUUCGGGUUGUAAACCUCUUUCGACAGGGACGAAGCUUCGGUGACGGUACCUGUAUAAGAAGCACCGGCUAACUACGUG